UGGGUAUGUAGCUCAGUGGAUAGAGCAUCAGGUUCCGGUCCUGAGGGUCGGGGGUUCGAGUCCCUCCAUACUCGU
rnacentral:tRNA from 4 species